UACGUAGGGUGCAGGCGUUAAUCGGAAUUACUGGGCGUAAAGCGUGCGCAGGCGGUUUGCUAAGACAGGUGUGAAAUCCCCGGGCUUAACCUGGGAACUGCGCUUGUUACUGGCAGGCUUGAGUGUGGCAGAGGGGGGUGGAAUUCCAGGUGUAGCAGUGAAAUGCGUAGAGAUCUGGAGGAACACCGAUGGCGAAGGCAGCCCCCUGGGCUAACACUGACGCUCAUGCACGAAAGCGUGGGGAGCAAACAGG
rnacentral:rRNA from 1 species